AAGGAUCAUUAUUGAAUGAACUUAGAGUCGGUUGUCGCUGGCUGUCUUUGGCAGCAUGUGCACGCCUUCUCUAUUCAUCCACACACCCCUGUGCACUUGUGAGACUGGAGGCCGUAAAAAGCCUUCAGUCUGCUAAAUUCAUAUACAAACUCAUUUAAUUGAACUGAAUGUACUUGAUGUAACGCAUCAUUAAACUAAGUUUCAACAACGGAUCUCUUGGCUCUC
rnacentral:misc_RNA from 1 species